AAAUAAAGCUAGAAAGCAUUCACACCUCGCCCCAAUCUCUCUCUCUCUCUGCAUUUCACUCAGUCGCAUUUUCUUCUUCAGUUACUAUUCAGCGUUCCGCUUCUCAUCUUCCGCUUCUCCGCGCUGCGCAUCACUCUUCACUAGCUCGCAUGCUGCCAUCACUUUCGAUUCUGUGAAUGUUGGAGUGAAAGUAGGCAUACUUGCUUCACCUGGUUCUGCUCCGACAUAAGGGGGCAUCUGAGUUUUAGUUUUGCUAUUAGUUGUGUUGUAUUACUUGUAUGUGAACGUUGAUACUAGAAAGUGAUACUAGAAAGUUAACAAGUUGGGGGAUUGUGGUUGGAAGUUUGGUGUUGGAUAUUGCAGUGCAUAUUUGGUAGUUGGAAUGCUGGGUAAAGAGGAUACCUCCUGUGCUGGGGGUGACGGCGAUGGUGGGGGUGGUGGUUUGAGGGGGGCUUUCCAACAUCCAAGUGGUCGGAGAAUGUAUUGGCGGUCGGCUUCCUGGUCCUCUUCCAGGACUUCAUUGCCCCCACUAAACCCAGAUAGUGACAAAGAAGGUUUAGAUCCAAAUGGCAGUAGUAAUGGACAGGGUCGGAGGCCAUUAACCCCUAGAUCACAACAGAGUUUUAAGGCAAGGUCAUGUCUGCCACCAUUGGCAAUUGCUCGGAGGAGUCUAGACGAGUGGCCGAGAGCAGGGUCUGAUGAUAUUGGAGAGUGGCCACUUCCUAGUACUCCUAGUGCGAGGGAUGCAAACACCAAUGGUGAGAGACUCAAGCUUGAUUUGUCGAACAUACAGAAGAACCCAGAGAGGAAUGGAGGUCUUGUUAAAAGAGAAAAAAUCGCUUUCUUUGAUAAGGAGUGUUCAAAGGUGGCUGAGCACAUCUAUCUUGGUGGGGAUGCAGUUGCCAAGGAUAGGGAUAUUCUUAAGCAGAAUGGGAUCACCCAUAUUCUUAACUGUGUGGGAUUUGUAUGCCCUGAGUAUUUCAAGGCUGAUUUUGCUUACCGGACCCUGUGGUUGCAAGAUAGCCCAUCAGAGGAUAUUACUAGCAUACUCUAUGAUGUUUUUGACUACUUUGAGGAUGUUAGAGAACAAAGUGGUAGAGUUUUUGUUCAUUGUUGCCAAGGGGUUUCUCGGUCCACUUCUUUGGUAAUUGCUUAUCUAAUGUGGAGAGAAGGACAAAGUUUUGAUGAUGCCUUUCAGUAUGUGAAGGCAGCCAGGGGGAUUGCUGAUCCAAAUAUGGGUUUUGCAUGCCAGUUGUUGCAGUGCCAGAAAAGGGUACAUGCUUUUCCUUUGAGCCCAAGUUCUUUACUAAGGAUGUAUAGAAUUGCACCACAUUCACCAUAUGAUCCUUUGCAUCUUGUCCCAAAAAUGUUAAAUGAUCCGUCUCCAUCUGCUUUGGAUUCUAGAGGUGCAUUUAUAGUACAUAUAACUUCUGCAAUAUAUGUUUGGAUUGGUAAGAAAUGUGAAGCUAUCAUGGAAAGGGAUGCCAGAGGAGCUGUUUGUCAGAUUGCUCGUUAUGAGAAAGUGCAGGGCCCAAUAGUAGUGAUUUCUGAGGGUGAGGAACCUCCUUAUUUCUGGGAUGCUUUUUCCAAUUUGCUGCCAUUAAUGGAUAAAUCAAACAAGGGGGUUGAUGUUGUUGAAGCAUCAAUAAAAAUUUGUCCUGGACAGCGGAUAGUGAAUGCAUAUAACAUUGACUUUGAAAUUUUUGAAAAGGCAAUUGUUGGGGGUUUUGUACCUCCUUUUGCCUCAUCAGAGGCUGAACAUGAAACCCACCUACCUGCGAGGGAAAGCUCUUGGAGUGUGCUACGGCGUAAGUUUGUUUCUGGGAACAUGAAGGAUUUUGUCUCUGCUUCAAAACAAGGUCCCUUGAGAGUCUACCCUGAUUCGAUGUUUAUAGUGGUUGAUCAUUCUUCAUCUAAACAGCUGCACUCUCCUUUGUUUUCAUCAUCAUCAUCAACUUCUACAUCAUCACCUUCAUCAGUAUCCUUUUCAUCGUCCUCAUCCUCUUCAUCUUCCUCCUCUUCAUCGUCAUCAUCACCACCUUAUCUUUCUCCUGACUCAUUCUCUUCUGAUUCAAGCAUUAAUUCUUCACGAUGCUCAGAUUCCCCUGCUGUAUCUCCUUCAGCUGCGUCUUGUGCAGAUGUAACAUCUUCAACUCUAUCUAGCUUCUCUAAUAUAUCCCUUCUUCCAUCCAAGAUUUCUCCACAGUCAAUAUCUAAAACUUCGAAGUAUAUUGACGUUAACUUCACUUCACGUUCUUCACAAUCAGCUUCUACAUCAUCUAGAAAGUUUCCCCUCUCUAUUGCUGAGCGGAGAGGCAGCUUGUCAAAGUGUUUGAAGCUUCCAGUGUUGGACGACUCUCAGGGAAAAAAUACCCUUUCGAGUUUUCUUUUCAACAAACAAGAUGGCAUUGGUGUGACAUAUGGGUCCAGUUUAGGAAAUGAGUCACUUCAGAUGGAAAACAUUUUGGAGCCUCAUAGAGAGGCAAAUGCAAGUAGUGAAAAUGACUCAUUUAGGAUUUCAGGUAAUGUAGUCAAUACUGAUUCACUGUUUGAAGAUGUUUUACCCAGCACCUGUAAUGUAUGGGAAAACCAUUCUUCUGGAGAAAAGGAGGUAGUUGUCCUAAAUGGACUGGUGGAUGGUCAUCCCUGUAACCUUAUGCAACCUCUGGUAUUUAAGUGGCCCAACUUGGAAAAGAUUUCACAGUUGACUCCUGAUGAUUUGGAUUCGGAUUCUGUAUAUAUUUUUGUUAUUCCUAGCCCAGAGUUUAAGAAUGUUGAGGGUAGGAUUCUAUAUUUUUGGGUAGGAAGAUCUUUCAGCUGUAAGUCAAGUAAGAUUUUCUCGGGGUACUGCCAAAGCCUAAGCGGCUCAGAAGACAUUGACUGGGGAAAAGCUUCUUCUGAUACUCUUCGCCAGAUGGGACUGCCACUGGAUACUAACAUCAAGAUUGUCAAAGAAAAUGAAGAACCAGAGGAGUUCCUGGCAUUGUUGAGUUCCAAGUGAUAGUAACAUGGUAUGUGGAUAAGAGGCAUGCAGUAAUUUCAUUAGAUAACUUCUCUUUCAAACUUUUUGAGUAUCCACAUUCCACGAUGCACGUCUGCCAUCUGAAUGACAUUAGAGAAUACUGGAAGGAGCUGCUUUUAAUGUUGUCAGUCAGAGGUGGUUUACCUGGAUGUACAGUGCUGCGACCCGAGGCAUCUGCCCUGCUGCUGACUCAAAUCUGGAUGUACAAUUUUCAUGACCUAGAAAUACAUAGAUUUUUGAAAGACACUUAGAAGGUUCGUAGGCAAGAUAGCAUCGUUCGUUCAUUGCAAUUUCCAUUCUUGACUAUAAUUGUACAUUUUUCUAUGCCCAUGCUUAAUUCCAAAAUCACAGACUCAGCUCCUAUAGUUUU